CCUACGGGAGGCAGCAGUGAGGAAUAUUGGUCAAUGGCCGGAAGGCUGAACCAGCCAAGCCGCGUGAAGGACGAAGGUGCCAAGCAUUGUAAACUUCUUUUGUCAAGGGACAAAAUCAGGCUCGAGAGCCUGACCGAGGGUACUUGAAGAAAAAGCAUCGGCUAACUCCGUGCCAGCAGCCGCGGUAAUACGGAGGAUGCGAGCGUUAUCCGGAUUUAUUGGGUUUAAAGGGUGCGUAGGCGGGCUUUUAAGUCAGCGGUAAAAAUUCGGGGCUCAACCCCGUCCGGCCGUUGAAACUGGGGGCCUUGAGUGGGCGAGAAGAAGGCGGAAUGCGUGGUGUAGCGGUGAAAUGCAUAGAUAUCACGCAGAACUCCGAUUGCGAAGGCAGCUUACUAAACUGCCACUGACAUUGAUGCUCGAAAGUGUGGGUAUCAAACAGGAUUAGAUACCCCUGUAGUC
rnacentral:rRNA from 1 species